AGGGAGCUGGCUUCCUGGGGCCUGCCUCAGCACAGUCCAACCUGUGAGGCUGAGUAUGGAUGGACCCUGGCCUGGUGGCAAGACGGGAGCAGAGACUUUGCUGGCGAAGGGGUGUUGCUUAUGCAAUGGGCAACUCCUACAUCUAGCAAGAAGAAAAACUGAUGGCUGGUGUGUAGUCAUGGUGAAGAAGGUGGAGUGGGGCAAAGGUGGUCAAGGUCAGGAACAGUGCACGAGCAACUGCUCAGCCCUUGGAAGUGGACUGGUGGACUGGCAUUAUCAGGAACGUGUCUGCUUUAGGUUUGCUGGCCAACAGCAGAGGCUUCCAAAGAACCAGGGCUCAGAGUCAUGCCCGAAGGUAGCUCGCCCGCGUGCCCGCUCCUCACCAUAUUCCCUUCUCUGCCUCUCUGCCGAGCUUCCUCUAUGAGGCUGAUCUGGAGCCACCAGGAUCUUCUUACUCCGGCCUAGUCUUUCCAGCCACUCCAGCUGGAAAGUGGAGCUGGGACUUGCAAGGCCAUGCAUACCAGAGGGUGAGAGUUUAGAAUUUCAAAUUCAACGGAAAGCAGCUGAGAGCUCUUCUCUGAUGGAGGGAAUCGCUAGAGUGAAACCUACUUCUUGAUCCAGACUCAAACAUGGCCAGAAUUUUCUGAGCAUCACAUGGAUGUUUCCUGUGGAGGGGACAUAGACGGUCUGUUCCUGCCUGGUUUCACAGGGACCACUCAACCAGGACUCCCACCUGCUAAGCAGUCAGCCUGGGUUCCUCGUGCCUUGGACAGGAAGCACCAGUUUCCUCAUCUGUACCCUGCUGGGCCUCAGCCCUGCUUGUCUGAUGAGCCAGAGAGAAACCUAGGAGAUGGGGAGAUUUGGGGGCUUCCUGUUCCCACCGUGGGGACUCUGUUGGUCUCCUUCUAGCGAUAACAAAAGAGGAGUUCUCUGCCAGAAGCUAACUGUCCCUUAUGCCAAAGGCCAUGGGCACUGGCUGUCCCAGGCAAUCAUUGCCUCCAGCUGCAUUUGGGACACUCCCCUGUGGGCUGAGAACCAGAGGAAGGCAGAGGCGGCCACGCGGAGUGCUGAGAAAGCCUCUGAACAGGGGCUCGUUGCCUGGGCAGUCUCAGAAGUCACAGUGGCGUCAACUCAUCUCCCCUGCUCUACCGCGGUGGGUGGAGGCAGUGGGGCUGUCGCUGUGAUUCAUCUGAGACACAAUUUGAGGAUGCUGGUGGUGCACCCGGCCGGACACGCUCCCCCGGAACUCCGCCAGCCUAGGGACGCCAGAGGGAGGGUGUCCCUGCAGAGCCUAGGAGUCAGCAUAGCCUGAGUCCAGAAAGGGGAGCUCCCUGGAGGGUCGGCUGGGUGACGCCACAGUGGCAUUCCACCAUUAAUCUUGAUGCUGCAGGUUGGGCCACUUGAGUGACCGGUUUGGCUGUCCCCCCACUCUGAGGCCAGGACCUGGGCCUGAGGCUGGGAGUCCUCUGCACAGUCCUCUCAUGUCAUAGAGUUUGAGCACUACCUGUCAGGACAGUGCCCUGGGUCCUCUCCUCAGUCAUGCCCCUGCUGUCCAUAUGCAGGCAGCCUGUCCUCCCCGGGGCUGGACAGACUGUGCCUCUGCUGGAAUUGGCCUACGGAGGAAGUUGCUCUCAGGGCAUUUGAGAAAGGGGAGUGGGAGGGGAGCCAAAAGGAAGUCACAAAGAUCAGCUUAAAAAUAACCCCCUCCCUGUCAAUCACGAGGAGGAGCUUGCAGAGGAGCCAAGUUCUGCUGGGGAUGGCUUGGCUUAGGACAAUGUCAGAAGGGCCUCAAGGCAAUCAGCAGCCGCUGCACUUGGAGCCUACCCCAAGCUCUUAUCAGCCUAGGCAAGCCCCUGCCCAAAGCCUGCUCUCCUCAGAGACUUCCGCCCCAGCCGGCAUCUGUUUCCUUUCCUAUAUUUAAACAACCGGAGGAGAAUCAAAAGGGAAUCGAAAAGAUGCUGGCCAUUGAGUUUGAGAAAUCCAGCUGCCUUCUCCAGCCUCUGGACACAACAGCUUCAUUGUAUAAAUUCUGUGUCUUGAUUGGGGUAUGCCUUCAACACGUAGCCACGUGGUUUACGACUCCGCUUUGGCCUUUACUGCCUGUCUGUACAGACCAACUGGAGGGCACAGAGAAAAAUAUGAUGUGAGGGACAAAUCCAUAGACAGAAGGAAGCUAUCUGUGGUCAGGAGGAGUUUUCACCGGAAAUCAAAUUUUCUGGCACCUUGAUGUUGAACAUCCAGCCUCAAGAACUGUAAGAAAACAAAU